rnacentral:ncRNA from 1 species
UCCAUGGUGACAUGGAAUCUGAAGGAAGCUCGAGACAAACCCUCGAUCUGAGGUACACGAAUCACAUUUGAGGUUUCUGCUUUCAGGACGAGUUUGCAUAACAAAACGAAGUCCAAAAUAUCCCCGGAUGAAACAGGAAUAAAUGUGGCAGAUAGAUGAGGGGAAAGUGGAUGAAC